AUUGAACGCUGGCGGCAGGCCUAACACAUGCAAGUCGAGCGGAUGAAGGGAGCUUGCUCCUGGAUUCAGCGGCGGACGGGUGAGUAAUGCCUAGGAAUCUGCCUGGUAGUGGGGGAUAACGUCCGGAAACGGGCGCUAAUACCGCAUACGUCCUGAGGGAGAAAGUGGGGGAUCUUCGGACCUCACGCUAUCAGAUGAGCCUAGGUCGGAUUAGCUAGUUGGUGGGGUAAAGGCCUACCAAGGCGACGAUCCGUAACUGGUCUGAGAGGAUGAUCAGUCACACUGGAACUGAGACACGGUCCAGACUCCUACGGGAGGCAGCAGUGGGGAAUAUUGGACAAUGGGCGAAAGCCUGAUCCAGCCAUGCCGCGUGUGUGAAGAAGGUCUUCGGAUUGUAAAGCACUUUAAGUUGGGGGGAAGGGCAGUAAGUUAAUACCUUGCUGUUUUGACGUUACCAACAGAGUAAGCACCGGCUAACUUCGUG
rnacentral:rRNA from 1 species